rnacentral:antisense_RNA from 1 species
CUUCAGCGACCCCAGGUACAGGGGCUCCUCGCGGUCCUGCCCGUACGUGGCGAGCAGCGCCCGCGCCUC